rnacentral:lncRNA from 1 species
AAUAAGAGGUGGGAGGCAGCCUCACAAGUUAGCAAUGCAGGGAAUGUUACAAGGAGUUAGCUUCAGUAUGAAAAAAACAUUUGUUUAGAGGCAUGGGAUAGAAUCACUGAAAUGCUGAGACAACUGUUCCUUCUCCUCCCUUGAGCUAAGACCCUGAAAGCUGAACCAGUACCAUCUCCUUGGAGCACCUUCUGAGGGUCCCUCUAGCCUACAAAGUGUAGUCAAGUGGAAUUUGUGCGCUUUCCUGAUUCAGGCCCAAUCCAGUCUUCCUAUGCCAGCCACAGAGCAGUCCCAUACUCCCUUCUGCUCAAUCCUACCCUGCCUCUUCUGCCUGUGAGUAUCCUAUUCACUUGGCUUGGAUUACCUUUCUUGCUCAUCUGCAGUAGACUUUACCAAUGCUCCCUGCUAUCUGGAUCUCUUCCACGUUCAGAGCAGCUGUGUCUCAUAAGAUGUUAAUACUGCAGAUGUCCUGAGAAGUAUGUGUCUUCCAUGGUCAAGCUGUCACCUAGGCUGGAGUGCAGUGAUGUGAUUAUGGCCCACUGAAGCCUCAAUCUCCAAGACUCAAGUGAUCCUCCUGCCUCAGCCCCUCUCCAAGUAGCUGGGACUACAGGUUCAAAUCACCAUGCCUGGCUAAUUUUUUUUUUUUUUUUUGGGGGUGGGAUUUCAUUAUAUUGCCCAGACUGGUCUCAAACUCAUGGGCUUAAGUGAUCCUCCUGCCUCAGGCUUCCAAAGUAUUGGAACUACAGAAGCGUACAGGUAGCAGACCAGCAAGUUAACUACAUAAUCACAUCUCUCAGUAGAACGUGACUACCAUUCCUGCAAGAACCUUAAACAAACACUUAUCACCAUCAAGAUGCCUAUUCUGGCAGAAGCCCAUUCCUCCAUCUGCAUGGAUGAUCAGAACAGAAAACAAUCCGGGAAUAUGUUGCUGUUUAGAAUUGGUUGUUGUGAGGACAAACCGAAGUGAUUCAUAAAGCACUGUACAAAUUCAGAGUAUCACAGUGAUGACUGAACACUCUGGAUUCAGGAAAUCCUUCAGCUGGAAGUCUUGCUAGGACAGAGGUAUGUGCUGUAUUGCUCCCUGAGAGGAAACCUGAUGUAAAACAAACUCAGCCUCAAGGCUGAUGUGCCUCUGAAUCUCCCCUCAGAGCAGCUAACGGCUCUAGAACUAAUAAGGUCCCAGUGGACUUUUUCUUUAAAGAAGCUUUUAAUGUUACCAGGAACUGACAGCAACGCUGUCCACAUCAAUCCCACUCAGACCCCAGCCUCUGGAAGACAUGACCUUAGAAACUCUGCAGAACUUUUCUGUCACGUUCCACCUAUGUCAACAUUCAUGCCACCCACUGUCCCAUGUCGAGUUCUAAGAAGUUAAGAUCUGUACCUGUUAAAAUGGACUUCUAGAUUUCCAAAAAAGAGUUUCAUGGGACUGUGGGCAUUUCACAUAGUUAGGCUAUCCACGGGCCUGGCCUUUCCAGAAAUGGUCAACUUCAUGUAAUCUUCUUAUCCAUAAAGGCAAAGAUUAAUUAAAUGUGUAACUAAAUAUAAUUAAUUUUUAUAACUCUCUUACAUAUUUAUUUAAAUAAACCCAUAAAUCAGAAAUGACGUUUUUUUUCCUCAGACUGAUCUUCUUGAGACUUGAUUUUUUUACUUGGAAAAUAUAGUUACUGUAAAUACUAUAAACUCUGGUUAACCAGCAUGUUCAGAGAAUAUAAAGCUGUAGUAACCUUUAAAUGCAAAGGAAGAGGAGGAGGAGGAGGAGGAGGAGGAAGAAAAGGAAGAGGAGGAGGAAGAGUGAUAAUUAAUAUCAAAUACAUUAAUACAAGCAGGUUUUAUUAACUGUACUUUUAACAGAUGAUGAAACACAUUCAGAGAGACCCAACAGCAAGUAAAUUACAAUGCCAGAAUUAGAACCCAAAUUUGGCUCACUCAGAGGCGCUCAAUCUCUGCUUCAUUCAGGUCUCUGCUCAAACAUUACCUCCUUACAGAGGCCUUCCUUGACCACACGAUUGAAAAUGUCCCAGCUGUCAGCCUGGCUCCCUCCUUCCCUGCCAUCAACUUGCUGUCUUUUUCAGUCCCCUUACCUGGCUUUAGUUUCCUUCAUAGUACUUAGCUGUAUGUUUGUUUAAAAACAUGUCUCCUGUUUGAUAGAAUGCAAGUUAAGCAGGGAUUUUAAAUUAUUCACUGCUUUAUCUCUAAUGCCUAGAAUAGUGUCUGAGACAUAAUUGGUACUAAAUGAACAAACGAAUAAAAGACCCUAAAAUGCAUGCAUUUUUCAUUACGUCUCACUGAAAGGGAACAGUAAGAAAGCGGAUACAUAUAUACACUGCAUUAUGUCAUAAUUCUUUCAUGAUCUGGGUGGUAUGAUUAUAGAAUAAAGGUUCAAAUUGAUUGUGGAGAUCACUCAUUAAUAUUUCUACUAAGGGAAAAGAGUAGCUGUCUCCUAGAAACUGAAGGAACCCUUUACAACUGUAGCAGUGUGCUCUUUUUCACACUCACAAUCUCUCCUUCCUAUCAACUCUGACAUAAGAAUACACAGGACUCUUUUCACGACAAGUCCAAGAAUUUGGUUAGAUUAUUUUUGCCAUAUAAAGGACCAUUUAAUACCAAAACAAACCUCCCACAUCAAACAGUUAAUUCCACAACCACGAAACCUCUUCUGACUCACCAAGAAAAGCCACAUCAACACAGGCACAAGGGAUUCAUUUAUUACACCAAAAGAGUCUCUUCAGUACUUCUUAAGUAACUAUAAUUUUUGGUCAUUUAAAUAAUUUUGCAUUUAAUGUAGGCUCUACUUCCAGAUUUUUCUGAAACUGAUGGAAGACAUACCUAAUAAAAAUGCAUUUCAAGAAAAAGAAACAGAUUAUGAACAUCUCGUUUCAUCUGGGUUUAUGUGAGACUUAACAUUCACUAUUCUUACUAGACAUUCUCCCUGGGAAGGUAAAACUUUUUUAAAAAGUAAUGCCUCCAAGGUACAUCGUGAAGGCAGACAUCUGCUUUAUUCAGGCAAAGUAAGUGCCCAGUAAGUGUUGGCUCACCAGAUCAUGUAUGUCUUUCACAUAGCAAAUAUUCCGAGUUCUAAGUCACAAAUCGAAUACUCAACAAUUCCGCCUAGAAUAGAGGAGUAACCAUGUCUGUGGGAGGGGGAAGGGUUGGGAAGAGAUCUGUUCUUCUUCCUGAUACCCAUGAGCAGAAUACUGUCACACAGACCUAUUUUGUGUUUUUAUAAUUACCCAAAUUCUCUUCUUUUGUCAGAAUUCAUUCUCAGUAACAGCUUGAGCAAUGUAGCAAUCGUGCUCUGAAAUGACUUGUAAACCACAGACACAAAUAUUUGGGCCAAGAAUGUGGAAUCCAUUGCUGUCACAUUCCAUUAUUUCUGGUGGAGCAAUUCACUAACAUUUUGGAAUCUAGAUCAUAAAUUAUGCAGAGCCUCAGCAAAAGAGCUGAGGAAACAAACUGCUGUAAUAAAACUCCUGUUACUGGAGCCAUAAAAACAGAACAAAGGAAAGGCAAAGAAGAAAAAUAGUGGUUGGACUUUUCUGACAUGCCUUGUCCACCAUUGUUACUGGUUUCAAAAAUGAUAAUGUAACAAUCGGAAAACCAUCAGGCAAGCCAAAAAUGAUACAAUAGGCAUACUGUCAUUCAUAAACAUCACCACCACCAUGAGAGUCCCCAGAAUAAAAUUAGCUUUUUGAAGAAUGCCUGAAUGUUGACAUAAAUUAAAGUGCCUAAAUGUACAUACAACCAAGCCAUCUGUACAUUUUUCAUGACUCUCCAGGGGUGUGAAAUGUCCUUCAACAACAGCACUUGGAUAGUGGUCGCAUUUUCUGUUGGGACAUAUCAUAAAUGUCAGAGGGAGAAAGAGAUCUGUGUCACAUGUGAACUGAAGCAGGUCCCUUUCCCUCUCUGUGGAAACUGACUUAAUGGCAGAGCUGGGACUAAAACCCACAUCUCUUGACUCCCAAGAUAAGAAUGACUUUUAUUUUGCAGUAUGAUGCCUAGAGCAUGGUAGGGGCUCAAAAAUUACUUUGUGAACGGAAGAAUGACAGAAUGAAUGGAUAG